rnacentral:rRNA from 1 species
AAUGGGUCAGCGACUUAUAUUCUGUAGCAAGGUUAACCGAAUAGGGGAGCCGAAGGGAAACCGAGUCUUAACUGGGCGUUAAGUUGCAGGGUAUAGACCCGAAACCCGGUGAUCUAGCCAUGGGCAGGUUGAAGGUUGGGUAACACUAACUGGAGGACCGAACCGACUAAUGUUGAAAAAUUAGCGGAUGACUUGUGGCUGGGGGUGAAAGGCCAAUCAAACCGGGAGAUAGCUGGUUCUCCCCGAAAGCUAUUUAGGUAGCGCCUCGUGAAUUCAUCUCCGGGGGUAGAGCACUGUUUCGGCAAGGGGGUCAUCCCGACUUACCAACCCGAUGCAAACUGCGAAUACCGGAGAAUGUUAUCACGGGAGACACACGGCGGGUGCUAACGUCCGUCGUGAAGAGGGAAACAACCCAGACCGCCAGCUAAGGUCCCAAAGUCAUGGUUAAGUGGGAAACGAUGUGGGAAGGCCCAGACAGCCAGGAUGUUGGCUUAGAAGCAGCCAUCAUUUAAAGAAAGCGUAAUAGCUCACUGGUCGAGUCGGCCUGCGCGGAAGAUGUAACGGGGCUAAA